UACGAAGGGUGCAAGCGUUGCUCGGAGUUAUUGGGCGUAAAGGGUAGGUAGGUGGUGACAUUUGUCUGGGGUGAAAUCCCUGAGCUUAACUCAGGAAGUGCCUUGGAAACGGUGUCACUAGAGUGCUGGAGAGGUUCGCAGAAUUCUUGGUGUAGCGGUGAAAUGCGUAGAGAUCAAGAGGAAUACCAGAGGCGAAGGCGGCGAACUGGACAGUUACUGACGCUGAACUACGAAAGCGUGGGGAGCAAACAGG
rnacentral:rRNA from 1 species